AACCCCUGUGAACAUACCACUUGUUGCCUCGGCGGAUCAGCCCGCUCCCGGUAAAACGGGACGGCCCGCCAGAGGACCCCUAAACUCUGUUUCUAUAUGUAACUUCUGAGUAAAACCAUAAAUAAAUCAAAACUUUCAACAACGGAUCUCUUGGUUCUGGCAUCGAUGAAGAACGCAGCAAAAUGCGAUAAGUAAUGUGAAUUGCAGAAUUCAGUGAAUCAUCGAAUCUUUGAACGCACAUUGCGCCCGCCAGUAUUCUGGCGGGCAUGCCUGUUCGAGCGUCAUUUCAACCCUCAAGCACAGCUUGGUGUUGGGACUCGCGUUAAUUCGCGUUCCUCAAAUUGAUUGGCGGUCACGUCGAGCUUCCAUAGCGUAGUAGUAAAACCCUCGUUACUGGUAAUCGUCGCGGCCACGCCGUUAAACCCCAACUUCUGAAUGUUGACCUCGGAUCAGGUAGGAAUACCCGCUG
rnacentral:rRNA from 1 species